AGGACGAACGCUGGCGGCGUGCUUAACACAUGCAAGUCGAACGGAAAGGCCCUGCUUUUGUGGGGUGCUCGGGUGGCGAACGGGUGAGUAACACGUGAGUAACCUGCCCUUGACUUUGGGAUAACUUCAGGAAACUGGGGCUAAUACCGGAUAGGAGCUCCUGCUGCAUGGUGGGGGUUGGAAAGUUUCGGCGGUUGGGGAUGGACUCGCGGCUUAUCAGCUUGGUUGGUGGGGUAGUGGCUUACCAAGGUCUUUGACGGGUAGCCGGCCUGAGAGGGUGACCGGCCACAUUGGGACUGAGAUACGGCCCAGACUCCUACGGGAGGCAGCAGUGGGGAAUAUUGCACAAUGGGCGGAAGCCUGAUGCAGCAACGCCGCGUGCGGGAUCGACGGCCGUCGGUUGUAACCGUCUUCGCCUGUCGACGAAGCGUGAGUCGAACGGUAAGUAGGGUAAAGAAGGUACCGAACCGG
rnacentral:rRNA from 1 species